rnacentral:rRNA from 1 species
UACAGAGGGGGCAAGCGUUGCUCGGAAUUACUGGGCGUAAAGGGCGCGUAGGCGGCCCGCUAAGUCGAACGUGAAAUCCCCGAGCUCAACUCGGGAACUGCGUCCGAUACUGGUGGGCUUGAAUCCGGGAGAGGGAUGCGGAAUUCCAGGUGUAGCGGUGAAAUGCGUAGAUAUCUGGAGGAACACCGGUGGCGAAGGCGGCAUCCUGGACCGGCAUUGACGCUGAGGCGCGAAAGCUAGGGGAGCAAACGGG